GGGGUUGUGGCUCAGUGGUAGAGUGCUUACCUUGAACGUGUAAGGCCCUGGGUUCGAACCUCAGCACCA
rnacentral:tRNA from 1 species